GCAACAAAGCCUCCUAACAGAUGUGAAGAUUCGAGGAAGGAUCCAAAGCACAACGGUGGCGGUUCCUGCUUCCAGCCGGUGGCUUCCACUCUCCACUUCCUUUGGGAAUCGCAGCAGGGUUGGCGAGAGCUGGCGAACAAUUUAGAAAGUCACUGUAAAAACACAGCCCUCCGGCAAGGAAGCUUUUCCGGGUUGCAAACCCUUCUUCUAGACCUUCUAGAAAAGCCAGUAACCAGCGCCCUCCCCGAGUCCUCACACUUAGCACAGUCCUUCCUCCGUGUGUCCUGGACACCUUGGGGUCCCCCACUUCAGGCACAGCUGGCUGUGAAGGGCCUUUGUCGAUGUGAACGUGCAGCAGCAGCAGCAGCAGCCUGGGGGUUAGGACGCUGUCCCUCCACGCGGGGGGCUUCGACCUGACC
rnacentral:lncRNA from 1 species